GGAUGAGAGAUACACCCCGUCCGCAGGGGACUGCGGGCGAUCCCGGGCCGAGGCCUCCCCAGCUUCGACUCGGUCGUGCCCUCGCGCACACCCCCGGAGCCUUGCGCUCCGGAUAUCCUCACCGAUCGGA
rnacentral:ncRNA from 1 species